rnacentral:lncRNA from 1 species
GUUCCUGCAAACAAAGAUUAGCAGCUGAGACGGAAGAACAACCCCAAGUGUGCAUCCAGCAUGGAAGCAAGUUAAUAAUACAGUUCAGUGUCAAAAAUACUGGAACACAAGCUAAUAGAGCUAAAUAAAUUAGAGAGUUCAGUGUCACAAACAUUGGAACAAGCUACUCCAAUUUAUUUCGACUAAUACGCUGCUAAUCUCAUUGGAGGAAUCAAAAGGCCCGUUUGGUUGUAAUCUGCAGUUCUUCGUGCACAAACACCAUCUGUCAGAGAAGCAUGACAUGCAAUUCUUUGACUGAAAGAAGCCCAUGAGGGAGGCUAACAUAUAUGGAUUUGCCAGUCGCCACCCCAAUCAGCUCUCAGAGCAAAGAAAAUCCAGUCUUGGCACAAAACAUCAGAUCCUCCAACAUUUGAAGCUGAAAACAUCUAACCUGAAGGUAAAGGUUCUGCUCCAGUUUUGCUAGGCUCGAUUUCUGGUAGCACUAUCCAAGUUCCACUGCACAUGUAGGUUCAUGUAUUUCCUGUAAAGAAUAACAUAAUUAAAUAGUGGUCACAGACCAUGAUGGCUUCAACUUGCAUAAAGAAGGCAACCAAAAGAGAAGCACCUCAUAUGUCAACAGCAAAACCAGAGUCAAUAGGAAACAUCACAAGAUAGUUUGAGAGGCAACAGUUCAAAUACUCUCGGACGAAGACGCUGCAUAGUUCAUAAAAAAACUAUAUAUCACCGACAUAUGUAUGUAUAAUACAUCAAACUGGUCGUGACGUUCAUCUAGAUCAAUGGAAAAGUAGCAACUAAUAUAAGUUACCAGCAUACCGAAAUACGCACAAAUACUUCAAUACACAAACUCAGGUACACACAGAUAUUUUCUAAGUAAAAUCAGCUCUUACAAAUAAAAAAAGAGAGAGUAAAAUCAGCUCAUGAUGGCGCCUCCAAUGAUUUUACAGCUUUGAUAAUGAUCUCCAUUCCUAACAAUAGUUCUGGAACUCC